GGAGGUUACUGCUAUCGGUGUUCGCCUAACCCAUGCGAGUCAUAUGUUCUUCGUGAACAUGGCGUACUGCUCAGUAACACGUGAAUAACCUGCCCUUGGGACCGGCAUAACCCCGGGAAACUGGGGAUAAUUCCGGAUACCGCAUAUAUGCUGGAAUGCUUUAUGCGUGAAAUGGAUUCGUCUGCCCAAGGAUGGGUCUGCGGCCUAUCAGGUAGUAGUGGGUGUAAUGUACCUACUACCCUACAACGGGUACGGGUUGUGAAAGCAAGAGCCCGGAAAUGGAUUCUGAAACAUGAAUCCAGGCCCUACGGGGCGCACCAGGCGCGAAAACUUUACAAUGCGGAAAACCGUGGUAAGGGAACACCGAGUGCCACCAACAUUUGUUGGCUGUCCAGGUGUGUAAACUACACCUGUUAGCAAGGGCCGGGAAAAACCGGUG
rnacentral:rRNA from 1 species